rnacentral:rRNA from 1 species
UACGUAGGGUGCAAGCGUUGUCCGGAAUUAUUGGGCGUAAAGAGCUCGUAGGCGGUCUGUCGCGUCGGCUGUGAAAACCUGGGGCUUAACUCCGGGCCUGCAGCCGAUACGGGCAGACUAGAGUUCGGCAGGGGAGACUGGAAUUCCUGGUGUAGCGGUGAAAUGCGCAGAUAUCAGGAAGAACACCAAUGGCGAAAGCAGCUCUCUGGGACGGUACUGACGCUGAGACGCGAAAGCGUGGGGAGCGAACAGG